CAGUAGCCACGGUAAUACGAAGGGUGCAAACGUUGCUCGGAAUUAUUGGGCGUAAAGCGCACGUAGGCGGCUCCGCAAGUCGGAUGUGAAAUCCCUCGGCUUAACCAAGGAAGUGCAUCCGAAACUGCAGAGCUUGAGUACUUAAGAGGAUCGCGGAAUUCCCGGCGUAGAGGUGAAAUUCGUAGAUAUCGGGAGGAACACCAGUGGCGAAGGCGACUCUCUGGUCUGUAACUGACGCUGAGGAGCGAAAGCGUGGGGAGCGAACAGGAUUAGAUACCCCCGUAGUCCCUGUCUCUUAUAC
rnacentral:rRNA from 1 species